AGGGGGCAGCAACAGAGGGGGAGUCGAGGCGAGUGAAAGAGAGAAAGAGAGCGGGAGACCUCUCCCUGUGCAAUUCUGCUAUCCGUGAGAGAGGUGAAGAUUCCACACACGCCCUGUUUCCCCCCGCAGCUCCACGGAAACAAGCAGAACGACAGAAGACCGAGGAAGGACAAGAGAGGAGAGACUGGCAGGAUAAACACAGGCUGUCAGAGCCACAGAGAGGAGGGAGAAGGAGUGAGGUAUAGACGGGGAGAAUCAUGCCUCUCCAGAGGGUCGCCGCCGCCCGCUGCUUGGCUGCCUUGCCUAUUUGAGGAGAGGAGGAUCGCAGUUGGGAAUACUGAGCCAAGAACGCCGAAGGGGAGCCAAGGAGACGCCAGUGAUUCUGUACCAUGAGCGGGAACAGGAGGAGGGAGGAGGCUCGCUGAAAACAUGGACCAGGGGUGUGCCGGUCCACCACGCCCAGUGCAGGGUACACAAGCUGGUGACACUGCUGGAGGCCCUGAACCAUGAUCCAUUCAAACCCUCGGCAGAAAUUCCUCAGGUUUGCCUCCAGGACAAGACUCAUCCCAAUGAACGUCAACCUGUGUUCUGACUGGUCAGCUGUCUCCCCCUCUCCAUGCCAGUUGUCCAGGCAAACAAAGAGAGGACCCCCGCCCCAUGCCCCUACUCCUCCAUACUGCGAGUGGGGAAUUUAUGGCUCACAGUGGAAUCUGGACAUGGAGGGGUCACCACACUGCACCUCUUCCCACAGCCCCACAGCCUUACCCCCUUCAACGGAGUGCCCCAGGAUCCUCUGUGUCAACAGGCAGCACAGCCACGACAUACCUGGAUGUCAAACUUACUGCAUUCUAUGGGACAUGGCAUUCCGUCAUACACACAGGUGUCUAUGUUACGAAGAUGACACUAUGAUCACACAGGAGGAUCUCUCAAACAGUGUUGUGUCUGUCUCUCUCUAUCUCAAACACACACACUAUCUCUUCAUUUAUUUAGCCAGGAUACUCCACGCGGUAACAUUUGCCCCCCACACACACACACACACACACACACACACACACACACACACACACAUACUUGAACUAAUCCACAUUUUGUCAGAGACCCAUCUCUCCAGCUCUCCUCUUAAAAGAGCACAUUUUGUGCUGUGGGACCAAGACCGCUAUUAAUGGUCUUCAAUUAUUACACUUGAGAUGGGGGUCAGAGUGAAGGUCACUGUUUAUGUUCGAUGAACAGAGAGGGCGAGAGAAAGAGGGAGAGACGACUUGGCUGGACUCGAACAUGGUGUCCAUUCAGCUCUUAGCAGGGCUACAGAUGCAGUCCAAGCAGCAGCGGUAAAUGUAGUUGUGUCCGAUGGAGGGCCGAGUGAGAGAAAGAGAAAGUGAGAGAGGGCUACUGUGCUGUGACAGGCCUGACAGAGUAGCAGUGUGUGCUAAUGCGCCACUCCAUACUGAGGAGGCCCACUGUGAAUGAUGUUGAAAGGGUAUGACAACAAAGCUUAGAACCAACAAAAGUGUGUGCGUUUGGUUUGUGUGUGUGUGUGUGUGUGUGUGUCAUGCAUCUACUCACACAGAAAGGAGGGCUUCAAUCUCAGGACUAGAGGGAACUGGAGGGAAAGAGGGCGAGAGAACAGCGAUGGGACAGGCCGUGAGACGAGCAGUGUGACUCCAGAUAUCCGGCUAAUUGGAGUGACCGGAAUCGAUUGUAACACACAGUGAGUGCAGAGGCAUGGGACUGUGGACUGUGAUAUCUAGUAUGGCAGUUUUUCUUUUUCUUUCCUAAUUUUUUUAUCAAAUUUGGCACAGUUGGCAUCUCGUUAAUGCGUUGGUUGGUUGGUUCAGGGUAGGACCGCGAGCUGACCCUGUGAGCGGGCAGCAGCAGCGUUGGGGCCCAUCCAGGGGGGUUUGAGAUGGGGCGCAGUGGAGCGAGUAAACGUGAUGAACGUUGAUUGUUUGUGGGUUACCCUCCAAAGUGCUCCCUCUGCUGUGCAUUGUUAUGUAAUGACCGCCGGGGAGGGGGGCUGAUGGUCUUUUGGUGCUCUCCCCCCUAUACACCCCCCUCGAGGAGAGAGAUAGGGGUGUCAGCACCCAUCAGGGUCAAACUCUGUCUCACUCAGUCAGCCAGGGGGACCCUCUCUGGACCGUGGGCUGUGUACCAAUGACUAAGGCUGUCCAACAGACCCAGAGAAAGACGAGAGGGAGGGAGGGGGCGAGUGUUUUUUACUCCAGACAGAUACACAUACUGAACAGCGCUCAGACUUACAAUAGUAUAGUAAAUACACUACUCACACACAAUGGUAAAUAAGCUAAUCCAGUCAACAGAGUAACAAUGUAGUAGUAUGCAAAAUCUAAGUCUGCCCACUCAAACACCUGACAGACAGACUUCCUCACAGACGGCUUCCCAGUGGCUCUUUGGCUGGGCUCCUCGAGUCUCCCCCUCGUCGAUAAUAGAGGGGCCAUUUUGCCGGGCUGACAGGCCAGUUGACUUCUGCUGCAGAAAACCCGAACGGUGGAAUGCUGUGGCACUGUAUCGCCCCACCCAGAGCAGAUACAAGUGAUUUACUCCUCUGUCUGGUUGAACUGAAAACACACGUAGCCUACUGUAGGGUCAGGCUGAGUCAGAGAUUGGGGCUGCAUCCUUAAUCGCACCCUAUUCCUUAUAGGCCGCGGUCAAAAGUAGUGCACCACAUAGGACAUAGGGUGCCAUUUUGAGUGCGAGAGAGAGAGCCUACAGACUAUAGACAGUGCUCAAUGGUCACAGGGGACACGGAACAGUUCAGCUCACCAGCGGCCAUGGCCCUCACGCUCUCUGACUCCCACCACGGGACCUUAGUCCCGCCUCCCCCUCCUUCCUCAUAUCCCCUCACUCAGGGACCACGUGACCCCUUCCAGACAGCCCACCCUGCUCUGCUCUCCCACCUUAUGAGCACAAUCACCUAGAUAAAGACCCCGGUCUCUCCCUCUCCCAUGGAGGACUCCGACUGACCAGCUAUAGGCUGACCCUCUGGCAGCGGUAUGGAGCAAUGGGUGUCGAACAAUGUGCUCACUGGCAGGGCCUCGCCGAAGCCUCGCAGACUCUCAUAGAUCUCUUUGGAAGUGAGCUGAGGUGGAAGUAGUUGAAGGUCGUGGUUGAAUUGAAGAUGUGUGUUCAGGUGCCGAGCUGCCCUUGACACGGCUGG